GUCACAUUCAGUCCCCAUUAGACACUUCAUUGAGGCUAAAACUUUAUUUAGCAGAAUUUAUCUUCAGUGUUAAUUCCUACAUUCAUUUUUGUAACUACUGGAAAUCUGUCAUUAAUUCGAAGCUUGAGGUUCUGACUUGUUAUUUUGUAGAGUUGCUGUUUGUUCAAAAACAGUCCAUUUCAGAUUUAAUGAUGGUGAUUCUGUUCUGAGACAUGUGAAGCUAGAGACACCAGCAACCAUAGUCAAUUGUCUUCCAGGGGCGAGAGCAGGCGACAUUUGAGGGAAAUUUAAAACUGCUGGCUAAGUGUAAGGGUAUUCACGUCAGCAGUAAUGACACCCGGUUACGUCAAUCAGAGGUCACUAAUAUUAAUAUUGAAUCAGUCUGUAACUUUGCCAAAACAAUGUCGGACUCUGUAGUUUUCUCUGGUCUCCUCCCCAAUCAGACCAGCAGUGACAUCUCCUUAAAUUCCUCUGAUUAGUGUCCAAAAAACUAUGUUGACUUUAUAGAUAAUGGGGAAACUUUCUGGGGGAAGCCUGUUCUUGUUCCAUCCCUCAUUUUUAGAAAUCUGGCCAAAUUUAUUAAACCCCCCAAAAUGUGACUAUCCAGAGUUGGGACCAGGAAGCAGAGUGGCAGUCUUACACGUCUAUCUGCAGCUUCUUCCUCCCAUUACCUCCUCAAACCCCAUCCCCUUAGGGACUGUGUCAGCUCCCAAACAGAGAAAAAAUAAACUAAAAAUCCACAAAAAAAAGGACUGAAAUAAAAAAAAAAAUCACAAAGGAAGAACAAUACAGCAUCCACAUUUGAACCAAAGAGUAAAACAGUGAAUUGUGGAUUACUAAACAUCAGGUCUCUCUCUUCCAAGUCUCUCUUAGUACACGAGUUAAUAACUGAUCAACAAAUUGAUCUACUCUGUCCUUACAGAAACCUAGUUACAGCAGGAUGAUUAUGUUAGUUUAAAUGAAUCAACCACCGAGUCAAGUCAAGUCAAGUCAAGUCAACUUUAUUUGUCAAUUCUGCCACAUGUACAGGACAUACACAGAAUAGAAAUUGCGUUACUCUCAAACCCUAGUGAUUAGAAAAAUGCAAAUAAAAUAAUUAAAAAGUAAAAAUUUAAAUAAAUACAAUACAAUUUUACGUAUAACAAAAAAAAGCUAUGCAAUAUACAAUAUACAAUAUUCAAGUAAGUAAGUCAUUCUAACCAUCAGAAACCUCGAAGCACAGGCCGAGGGGGCAGUGUGGCAGCAAUUUUCAACACCAGCCUAUUAAUCAACCAAAGACCAAGAAAGACUUUUUAUUUCACUAGCUUGGCCCACGUCCUCAUUUUAGGUUUAAGAGACAUAAAUCAGGACCUUUCCACAAAUGUUUAUCCAUGUGAUGAUGUCCUCUUGUUUCUUUAAUCUAACUGCUGCACUGACUUCUUUUUGAAUUAAAUGUUUGUCUUUGUAAUCAUUUUUUUGUAUAUUUGUAAUAUUCUUUUUCUGUAUUUCAUGCAUGUAUUUUAAGGCAGGUGGGGAUUAUGUCUCCUCACCCC
ensembl:lncRNA